UAUGUGAUCGUCUCUCGCAUAUCAAUAAGCGGAGGAAAAGAAACUAACAAGGAUUCCCCUAGUAACGGCGAGUGAAGCGGGAAGAGCUCAAAUUUGAAAUCUUAAAGGGUUUCCCUUUACGAAUUGUAGUUUAAAGAAGUGUUUUCUGUUGAGGUUUUGGUAAAAGUUCUUUGGAAUAGGACAUCAUAGAGGGUGAGAAUCCCGUAUUUGACCUUUACUUUCAACUUUGUGAUACACUUUCAAAGAGUCGGAUUGUUUGGGAAUGCAGUCCAAAAUGGGUGGUAAAUUUCAUCUAAAGCUAAAUAUUGGCGAGAGACCGAUAGCGAACAAGUACCGUGAGGGAAAGAUGAAAAGAACUUUGAAAAGAGAGUUAAACAGUACGUGAAAUUGUCAAAAGGGAAGCGUUUGACACCAGUGUUGUUUUUCUGAAAAUCAAUAAAAGAACUGUUUAUGCUAAGUUGUUUAGACUUUAUCAGCUAAUCUGUUUAGUUUUGAGCUUUUCUUUAAUGCACUUUUCAGUUAACAAGUCAACAUCAAUUUCUUUUGCUGUAAAAAAGCUUGAGGAAGGUGGCUUGAGAUUCGUCUUAAGUGUUUAUAGCCUCUUGCCUAUGCAGUCGGAGAGAUUGAGGUCUGCAGCGUAGAUCCUUCGGGGCUAAAUGCAUUUGUGCUAAGUUAUAGCAUUUUAUAGACAACUUGUUGACUAUGAUUUGUCUUGUAGCUUACUCGCUUAUGUUAUUUUACCUACGCUUAGGAUGUUGAUCUACAGAGCGAGAGU
rnacentral:rRNA from 1 species